rnacentral:rRNA from 1 species
AAUAGCGGCCUCGUUUGACGUUAGCUGCAGAAGAAGCACCGGCUAACUCCGUGCCAGCAGCCGCGGUAAUACGGAGGGUGCGAGCGUUAAAUCGGAAUUACUGGGCGUAAAGCGCAUGCAGGUGGUUUGUUAAGUCAGAUGUGAAAGCCCCGGGGCUCAACCUCGGAAUAGCAUUUGAAACUGGCAGACUAGAGUACUGUAGAGGGGGUAGAAUUUCAGGUGUAGCGGUGAAAUGCGUAGAGAUCUGAAGGAAUACCGGUGGCGAAGGCGGCCCCCUGGACAGAUACUGACACUCAGAUGCGAAAAGCGUCGGGGAGCAAACAGGAUUAGAUACCCUGGUAG